AUUGAACGCUGGCGGCAUGCUUUACACAUGCAAGUCGAACGGCAGCGCGGGGCAACCUGGCGGCGAGUGGCGAACGGGUGAGUAAUAUAUCGGAACGUACCCAGAAGUGGGGGAUAACGUAGCGAAAGUUACGCUAAUAUCGCAUACGAUCUACGGAUGAAAGUAGGGGACCGCAAGGCCUUAUGCUUUUGGAGCGGCCGAUAUCUGAUUAGCUAGUUGGUGAGGUAAAGGCUCACCAAGGCGACGAUCAGUAGCUGGUCUGAGAGGACGACCAGCCACACUGGAACUGAGACACGGUCCAGACUCCUACGGGAGGCAGCAGUGGGGAAUUUUGGACAAUGGGCGCAAGCCUGAUCCAGCAAUGCCGCGUGAGUGAAGAAGGCCUUCGGGUUGUAAAGCUCUUUUGUCAGGGAAGAAACGGUAGAGGCUAAUAUCCUUUGCUAAUGACGGUACCUGAAGAAUAAGCACCGGCUAACUACGUG
rnacentral:rRNA from 1 species